rnacentral:rRNA from 1 species
AUUGAACGCUGGCGGCAGGCCUAACACAUGCAAGUCGAACGGUAACAGGAAGAAGCUUGCUUCUUUGCUGACGAGUGGCGGACGGGUGAGUAAUGUCUGGGAAACUGCCUGAUGGAGGGGGAUAACUACUGGAAACGGUAGCUAAUACCGCAUAACGUCGCAAGACCAAAAAGGGGGACCUUCGGGCCUCUUGCCAUCGGCUGUGCCCAGAUGGGAUUAGCUAGUAGGUGGGGUAACGGCUCACCUAGGCGACGAUCCGUAGCUGGUCUGAGAGGAUGACCAGCCACACUGGAACUGAGACACGGUCCAGACUCCUACGGGAGGCAGCAGUGGGGAAUAUUGCACAAUGGGCGCAAGCCUGAUGCAGCCAUGCCGCGUGUAUGAAGAAGGCCUUCGGGUUGUAAAGUACUUUCAGCGGGGAGGAAGGGAGUAAAGUUAAUACCUUUGCUCAUUGACGUUACCCGCAGAAGAAGCACCGGCUAACUCCGUG